rnacentral:tRNA from 1 species
GCGGGUGUAGUUCAGUGGCAGAACCCCAGCCUUCCAAGCUGAUGACGCGAGUUCGAUUCUCGUCACCCGCUCCA